rnacentral:tRNA from 1 species
CGGAGUAUAGCGCAGCCAGGUAGCGUGCCUGCUUUGGGAGCAGGGUGUCGUGGGUUCGAAUCCCUCUACUCCGA